CCUUCGAUAGCUCAGUUGGUAGAGCGGAGGACUGUAGACGUGUGGUUGUGGUCAUCCUUAGGUCGCUGGUUCGAAUCCGGCUCGAAGGA
rnacentral:tRNA from 1 species